GGAGGGGCCGGGAGGGCCGGGUGGUCAUGGAAGCGUUUCUCCGGUACACGAGGGGACGGGGGAGGUGACCUCAGCCGCGGCGUAAGCAGCGCAUCUCUUCCUGCGCCGUGCGGGGCUCCCAGCCCCGUCCUCCUUAGGCAGAGUCGCUGUUGGUACGCGUGGAGAAAGUGCGCGGCUCAACUUCAACACUCGCUCUUCUCAUUCUCACUUCGGACGCCGUGUUUCGCUUAAAAAUGUCUUCUGUAACUUCCAGGUCUGCGCCGAGGCAGUGCUGACAGCAGCCGCCGGCUGUAUUGUAGUGGUCACGGAGUUUGGAGGGUGUCGUGUGCUCCCUGUGCUGCACAUGCACUCUGCUAUACAAUCAUCUUUAAGUUUGAGUAACAAGUAUUUAACCUCAAAUGAAGCUUCCUGCAUGCAGCGGAACAGAUAUAUGGUGCAAAAGAAUCACAGCUGUCCAAUCAAGAUGAACAGAAUGGCUUCCUUGACCAAGAAAAUAGAACAUUCGAUUUUUAGGAUGAUAUCUACAACAUGAAGCAUUCAACAGAAGCUGCCUUUGAGAACGUUUAUCUAUGACCUGAAAUGUCCUGAUCCUGGGGAAAAAGAUGAGAUUCCAUUAAUUAAGUCUAUAAUUUCUUAAUGCAUCCUUAUGACUAUUCAUUUUUGCGUCCGCACAACACGGAUACAGAAUUCAUAAACCAGAGAUUAUUUUAACACGUAGAUUUGUGUUUGUGCAUUCAGUAUACAAGAUACAUCAUUUUAAUCAAAUUUCACAUAAUCUUUUAAAUUAUCUGUAUUUAUUAAUAAAUGAAGACGUG
rnacentral:lncRNA from 1 species